rnacentral:rRNA from 1 species
GCAAAUCAAUAUAAAUUGAUAGUAUUUAUUUAUUAAUUUUUUUUUUAUAUAAUAUAUAAAUUAUUAAAAAUAAUUAUUUAGGUUAAUGUUUUAGUAGUUUUUAAUGAAAAAAUAAAUUUAAUGAUAUUGAAUUAUGUAUUGUGAAAGAUUAUUAAAAUAAUUUGAAAAAUUAUUAUUUAAAUAGAAAAUUUAAUUUAUUGUACCUUGGGUGUCAGGGUUUAUUAAAUAUAUAAUAAGUAUUUAUUUAUUUCGAUUUUAUAGGAGUUAAUAAUUUAAGAAGGUUAAUGUGUUAAAAUUAUUUUAAAUAAAUUAUUAGAAAUGAUAUGUUAUUCGUUUAUAAAGGUAUCUAGUUUUUUUAGAAAUAAAUUGAAUUUACAAACUUUUAAAUUUUUAUUUGAUUAAUUAAUAAAAAAUAUUAUUAGUUUGAAUAUUUUAAGGGAUAAGCUUUAAAAUAAAUUGUUAUAAAUUUGUGAUAAUUUAUAUGAAAUGUAUGUGUAGAAUUAGCAAUCAUUUAUGAGUUUAUUAUAAAAUAUUAUAUUUUGUAUAUUAUUUAUUAGAAUUUUUAAUUUUUUAUAAAAAUUUUUUUAUAAAUAUAGAAUGAAAAGUAAUAAUGGUAAAAUUAGUAUAAUAUAUUGUUUAUUUAUUUUAAUUUGAUAAGUUUAUAUAAAGAAUUCGGCAAAUAUUAUACUCGCCUGUUUAACAAAAACAUGUCUUUUUGAAUUAUUUUUAAAGUCUGACCUGCCCACUGAAUUAAUUUAAAUGGCCGCAGUAUUUUAACUGUGCAAAGGUAGCAUAAUCAUUAGUCUUUUAAUUGAAGGCUGGUAUGAAUGGUUGGACGAAGUAUAAACUGUUUCAUAUAAAUUUUGUAUAGAAUUUUAUAUUUUAGUUAAAAAGCUAAAAUAAUAUUAAAAGACGAGAAGACCCUAUAAAUCUUUAUAUUUAGUAUUAUAUUAAUUUUUUUGAUAUUUUUUAUUUUUAUUUUAUUUAAUAUUUUAUUGGGGUGAUAUUAAAAUUUAAAUAACUUUUAAUUUUUAAAAUCAUUAAUUUAUGAUAAAUUGAUCCAUUUUUAUUGAUUAUUAGAUUAAGUUACUUUAGGGAUAACAGCGUAAUUUUUUUGGGGAGUUCAUAUCUAUAAAAAAGGUUGCGACCUCGAUGUUGGAUUAAGAUGUGUUUUAGGUGUAGCUGCUUAAAUACAAAGUCUGUUCGACUUU